CUGGUAGUUGUAGGAAUCUACCGUUGGAGAAGUUCAGCCGUUGGCGAAGUCCGGGGUAGUUUGGAUUGGAGUUGAACCUGGCUGGAAGAAGUCUGGAAGGGAUUCAAGGAAUAGCUGAUAUUCGUAGAAAGUCGGCUGGCGGCGGAGCUUAGUGAGCGCUUAGGGUGGCUUAAUAGAUAACUGGGGGAACUCAUGUUGAAGG
rnacentral:lncRNA from 1 species